AGUGAACGCUGGCGGUAUGCCUAACACAUGCAAGUCGAACGGCAGCACAGUAAGAGCUUGCUCUUACGGGUGGCGAGUGGCGGACGGGUGAGGAAUACAUCGGACUCUACUUUUUCGUGGGGGAUAACGUAGGGAAACUUACGCUAAUACCGCAUACGACCUACGGGUGAAAGCAGGGGAUCUUCGGACCUUGCGCGAUUGAAUGAGCCGAUGUCGGAUUAGUUAGUUGGCGGGGUAAAGGCCCACCAAGGCGACGAUCCGUAGCUGGUCUGAGAGGAUGAUCGGCCACACUGGAACUGAGACACGGUCCAGACUCCUACGGGAGGCAGCAGUGGGGAAUAUUGGACAAUGGGCGCAAGCCUGAUCCAGCCAUACCGCGUGGGUGAAGAAGGCCUUCGGGUUGUAAAGCCCUUUUGUUGGGAAAGAAAAGCAGCAGGUUAAUACGCCGCUGUUCUGACGGUACCCAAAGAAUAAGCACCGGCUAACUUCGUG
rnacentral:rRNA from 1 species